UUGAAACACCAGUUCAUUUAGGAUCACCAAAGUUAAGCAACACUGAGCCUGGUCAGUACCUAGAUGGGUGACUGCUUGAGAAUGCCAGGUACUG